rnacentral:lncRNA from 1 species
AUUUUAUAAAUGAUUUAGUAAAGUUAGUUUUGUCAUUUUCAUCACACAUUUAAGGUUUAUGAAAAUUAUUCAUCUUUUAAAAGUAAAUUUAGAAAGUGAUUUAAAGUUUGUGGUAUUAUAAAAAUGUUGCUAUUUUAAAAAAAAGUAAAUAAAACAUUAAUAAAAAGAAUAGUUUAAGGUAAUAAAAUCAAAAGAAAAUAUUUUAUGAAAUAGUAGCUAAAAAUGUAAAAAAAAAAAUUAAAAGAACAGACACACCACAUGGCUUAGAACGUAGGGUUGGUGGGACACGCUUUAACCUUUAG